GAACGGAAUCCUUCGGGAUUUAGUGGCGGACGGGUGAGUAACACGUGAGAAUCUGCACUCAGGAUGGGGACAACAGCGGGAAACUGCUGCUAAUACCCAAUGUGCCGAAUUGGUGAAAGAUUUAUCGCCUGAGAAUGAGCUCGCGGCCGAUUAGUUAGUUGGUGGGGUAAAGGCCUACCAAGACGGCGAUCGGUAGCUGGUCUGAGAGGAUGAGCAGCCACACUGGGACUGAGACACGGCCCAGACUCCUACGGGAGGCAGCAGUGGGGAAUUUUCCGCAAUGGGCGCAAGCCUGACGGAGCAAGACCGCGUGGGGGAGGAAGGUUCUUGGGUUGUAAACCCCUUUUCUCAGGGAAGAACACAAUGACGGUACCUGAGGAAUCAGCCUCGGCUAACUCCGUGCCAGCAGCCGCGGUAAUACGGAGGGUGCGAGCGUUAUCCGGAAUUAUUGGGCGUAAAGCGUCCGCAGGUGGUGGGGCAAGUCGGCGGUUAAAGACUGGGGCUUAACUCCAGAAAGGCCGUGGAAACUGCACCACUAGAGGGCAGUAGGGGUAGAGGGAAUUCCCGGUGUAGAGGUGAAAUUCGUAGAUAUCGGGAGGAAUACCUGUGGCGAAGGCGGCUAACUGGCCCUGUCCUGACACUGAGGUACGAAAGCGUGGGGAGCGAACCGGAUUAGAUACCCUGGUAGUC
rnacentral:rRNA from 1 species